rnacentral:rRNA from 1 species
AGCGGCGGACGGGUGAGUAAAGCGUAGGAAUCUACCUAGUAGAAGGGGAUAGCCCGAGGAAACUCGGAUUAAUACCGUAUACCUCCUUAGGGAGAAAGAGGGCCUCUCUUGAUGCUCUCGCUACUAGAUGAGCCUGCGUAAGAUUAGCUUGUUGGUGAGGUAAUGGCUCACCAAGGCUACGAUCUUUAGCUGGUCUGAGAGGACGAUCAGCCACAUUGGGACUGAGACACGGCCCAGACUCCUACGGGAGGCAGCAGUGGGGAAUAUUGGACAAUGGGCGCAAGCCUGAUCCAGCCAUACCGCGUGUGUGAAGAAGGCCUUCGGGUUGUAAAGCACUUUAAGCAGGGAGAAAAAGUUAUAAGUUAAUACCUUAUAACCGUGAUGUUACCUGCAGAAUAAGCACCGGCUAAUUCCGUGCCAGCAGCCGCGGUAAUACGGAAGGUGCAAGCGUUAAUCGGAAUUACUGGGCGUAAAGCGCGCGUAGGUGGUUUGUUAAGUUGGAUGUGAAAGCCCUGGGCUCAACCUAGGAACUGCAUCCAA